GUGCCAGCAGCCGCGCGGUAAUACGUAGGGUGCGAGCGUUAAUCGGAAUUACUGGGCGUAAAGCGUGCGCAGGCGGUUUGUUAAGAUAGGCGUGAAACCCCCGGGCUCAACCUGGGAACUGCGUUUAUGACUGGCAGGCUAGAGUAUGGCAGAGGGGGGUGGAAUUCCACGUGUAGCAGUGAAAUGCGUAGAGAUGUGGAGGAACACCGAUGGCGAAGGCAGCCCCCUGGGCCAAUACUGACGCUCAUGCACGAAGGCGUGGGUAGCAAACAGGAUUAGAUACCCUGGUAGUCCACGCCCU
rnacentral:rRNA from 1 species